rnacentral:lncRNA from 1 species
GUUCAACCCAUGUAAAAUUUAAAAUCAGCCAGUGUGGUAUAAGCCUAGUUGCAAUAAAAUGAGCAAAUGACCCAACUUUAAUUUUUUGGCCCAAACAAAACAUAAAUUUUAUUAUCCAUGUGUUUCCAAACCUAAACCCAAACCCAAACCCAAACCAAACCUAAUUCUAAUCCAAUAUUAAUCCCUUGACAACCAACAGGUCCAGGUUAGAAAUCAAAAUCAAAAUCAAAAUCAAACGGACCUUCCUCUCUCUCAGUCUCUCCAUUCUCGAAGAGACGAAGACUCUUAGACUCCAACCUAUUUUUAAAAUUUUCAAUCAAAAAUUUCUAUAAAUUUAAGGAAUCCAUUACCCACAUCAAAAAUUUCAUCUCUUAAAAGUGUAUUUUAGCAGGACAAAACAACGGCUUUUGAAUUGGUAAUUGCCAUUUCAAUUCUUUCAAAGUGUAGAAGCUGUUACCUGUAGUUAGUGCCGCAAAGCAGCAGAGGAAAACAAGGACGAAGCCCAGGCUACAGCCCGUGUUCGCGCAAGCCCAGAUCCAUCAGUCCAUAGUUUUUUUUUUUUUUUUUUGGGUUGAACCCAUGUAAAAUUUAAAAAUAGCCUAUGUGGUGUAAGCCUAGUUGCAAGAAAAUGAGCCCAACUUUAAUUUUUUGGCCCAAACAAAACAUAAAUUUUAUUAUCUAUGUAACCCAAAACCAAACCCACCCCCAAACCCAAACCCAAACCAAACCUAAUUCUAACCAACAGGUCCAGGUUAGAAAACAAAAUCAAACGGACCUUCUUCUCUCUCAGUCUCUCCAUUCUCGAAGAGACGAAGACUCUUAGACUCCAACCUAUUUUUCAAAUUUUCAAUCAAAAAUUUCUAUAAAAUUAAGGAACCCAUUACCCAAUCAAAGAUUUCAUUUUUAGCGGGACAAGACAACGGAUUUUGAAUUGGUAAGUGCCAUUUCGAUUCUUUCGAAGUGUAGAAACUGCUACCUGUAGUCGGUGCCGCGAAGCAGUAGAGGAAAAUCGUGCUCACUGCUCAGCCCCAAAUACCUUCUCUUCUUCUCGACUUCUCCAUUUCUCUCUCUCUCUCUCUCUCUCUCGCGUAGGAGACAGAAACCAGUGGCGCAAGCGGGGAGCCGGAAAAAAGGGGCCGAAGAGCCUUUUAUUUUAUAUAGGCAUAGGGUAUGGG